rnacentral:tRNA from 1 species
GCCGAGGUGGUGGAAUGGUAGACACCGGGGACUUAAAAUCCCCUCCCAGCAAUGGGGUGUGAGUUCAAAUCUCAUCCUCGGCA